rnacentral:rRNA from 1 species
UACAAAGGUCCCAAGCGUUGUUCGGAUUCACUGGGCGUAAAGGGUGCGUAGGCGGCGCGGUAAGUCGGGGGUGAAAUCCCGGGGCUUAACUCCGAAACUGCAUUCGAUACUGCCGUGCUUGAGGACGGGAGAGGAGACUGGAAUUUACGGUGUAGCGGUGAAAUGCGUAGAUAUCGUAAGGAACACCAGUGGCGAAGGCGGGUCUCUGGACAGUUCCUGACGCUGAGGCACGAAGGCCAGGGGAGCAAACGGG